rnacentral:rRNA from 1 species
UACGGAGGGUGCAAACGUUGCUCGGAAUCAUUGGGCGUAAAGCGCACGUAGGCGGUUCUGCAAGUCGGGUGUGAAAGCCCUCGGCUCAACCGAGGAAGUGCAUCCGAAACUGCAGAACUUGAGUAGUGAAGAGGGUCUCGGAAUUCCCGGUGUAGAGGUGAAAUUCGUAGAUAUCGGGAGGAACACCAGCGGCGAAGGCGGAGACCUGGGCACAUACUGACGCUGAGGUGCGAAAGCGUGGGGAGCAAACAGG